UACGUAGGGUGCGAGCGUUAAUCGGAAUUAUUGGGCGUAAAGAGCUCGUAGGCGGCUUGUCACGUCGGGUGUGAAAGCCCGGGGCUUAACCCCGGGUCUGCAUUCGAUACGGGCUGGCUGGAGUGUGGUAGGGGAGAUCGGAAUUCCUGGUGUAGCGGUGAAAUGCGCAGAUAUCAGGAGGAACACCGGUGGCGAAGGCGGAUCUCUGGGCCAUUACUGACGCUGAGGAGCGAAAGCGUGGGGAGCGAACAGG
rnacentral:rRNA from 1 species